UGAGCGCUGCAGUCUGUGUAAGGA
rnacentral:misc_RNA from 1 species